UGUCUCCACAGAGAGAGAGAGAGAGAGAGCAGCGCAGCACAUGGUUCUAAGCUGUCGCCGUGUAUCUCAAGCAUGAGCACAUCCGUGUAUCCGUGUAUCCGCGUAUCCGUGUAUUCGUGUAUCUGUGAGUCUGCCCUUAGCUCUGUGUUUGCGUUCGCUCUCGCUCUGGCUCUGGCGCUCUCUCUGUCUUGGCGGCAUCGGGCAUCGGGCAUCGGGCAGCAGCGGCAGCGGCGUGUUUCUACACUUUGCAACGAGCGCGUGUGCCAGUCAGAGUUAGUUCAACAUUCAGUGCCGUCUAAAGGCAAAUUAAUUACAACUACACUACAAAAAAAAAAAUAAAGAAGAAAAACAGCAUCAAAAAUAUUGUUAAAAUUCAAAAUUAAUGCCACAAAAAGUGCAGCACAAAUGAAAUAGAAUGAAAACUGAGUACUCUCUGCUAAAGGGAAAAGCUUCUCCGCUGCCAAAGAGCACGUGUGAGCAGUAAAAUGCCGCCACUAAAAAAAUCACAGCAGCAACAACAACCACAACACACCAUUUAAGCAGCAGCAGCGUUAAACGUUUUUCGAAACGGAAAAUUGUCAACAAAAAGAACCAAAAAAUAGCCAAGGCAACAAAAAAAAAAAAAGAGAAAGAAAAUCGCCCCAAAGGAAAAACCCCAGCAAAAACGCACUCGGCAUUUGCAACAGCAGCAACAGCAGCAGCAGCAGCAGGAACGCACGAGGGAAGGCUAUAAAAAUAGCUUAAUUAGCCAAUGAAACAACAACAAAUUCAAUUAAACAAAAGAUAAAACAGCAACAGCAAACAGCAACAGCAACGACAAAACUCAACUAAAAAGUAACCAAAAAGUCAGCAGAAAGAACCUCCUCCCUCUAUCGAAACGGAAUAGAAUAGAAUAUAAAAAAACAAAAAACAAAAAACAAAAAAGAUAUAUAGAAAAAACCACAGCCAAGCUAUAGAAAUAAUCGAAAUUUCUUGUUGUACUCGCAAAUGUUGUUAUUCAAAGAAAGUUAAAAUAGUUUUACAUAGUUAAAAACAAAAAAACACAAAACAAAAAACCAAAAAAAAGCAAAAGUUAAAAGAGCGUAUAAAUUGUUGAAUGAAUUCGCGGUGCCUUUAUUUAUAGCCAGCAUAUAGAAAAGAAACAAAGUCUUAACAACAAAUCAAGUAACACA
rnacentral:sRNA from 1 species